rnacentral:rRNA from 1 species
GACGAACGCUGGAGGCGUGCUUAACACAUGCAAGUCGAACGAACCCGAGACUUCGGUCUCAAUGGGUGAGUGGCGAACGGGUGAGUAACACGUGAGAAACCUGCCUCGGAGUACGGGAUAACCCAAGGAAACCUGGGCUAAUACCGCAUACCUCCCAGACACCGCAUGGUGACUGGAAGAAAGAUUUAUCGCUCUGAGAGGGUCUCGCGGUCUAUCAGCUUGUUGGUGAGGUAACGGCUCACCAAGGCUUCGACGGAUAGCUAGUCUGAGAGGACGAAUAGCCACACUGGAACUGAGACACGGUCCAGACUCCUACGGGAGGCAGCAGUGGGGAAUCUUGCACAAUGGGCGAAAGCCUGAUGCAGCGACGCCUCGUGGGGGAUGAAGGCCCUAGGGUCGUAAACCCCUUUCAGGAGGGACGAAAAUGACGGUACCUCCAGAAGAAGCCCCGGCCAACUACG